rnacentral:rRNA from 1 species
UACGUAGGUGGCAAGCGUUGUCCGGAUUUACUGGGCGUAAAGAGCGCGCAGGCGGUCGUUCAAGUCGCGUGUGAAAGCCCCCGGCUCAACUGGGGAGGGUCACGCGAUACUGAUCGACUCGAAGGCAGGAGAGGGAAGUGGAAUUCCCGGUGUAGUGGUGAAAUGCGUAGAUAUCGGGGAGGAACACCAGUGGCGAAGGCGGCUCUCUGGGACGGUACUGACGCUGAGACGCGAAAGCGUGGGGAGCGAACAGG